CCUACGGGUGGCAGCAGUGAGGAAUAUUGGUCAAUGGACGAAAGUCUGAACCAGCCAAGUAGCGUGAAGGAUGACUGCCCUAUGGGUUGUAAACUUCUUUUAUAUGGGAAUAAAAUGUUCCACGUGUGGGGUUUUGUAUGUAUCGUAUGAAUAAGGAUCGGCUAACUCCGUGCCAGCAGCCGCGGUAAUACGGAGGAUUCGAGCGUUAUCCGGAUUUAUUGGGUUUAAAGGGUGCGUAGGUGGGUUGUUAAGUCAGUGGUGAAAGUGUGCGGCUCAACCGUAAAAUUGCAGUUGAUACUGGCAGUCUAGAGUACAGUAGAGGUGGGCGGAAUGUGUGGUGUAGCGGUGAAAUGCUUAGAGAUCACGAAGAACUCCGAUUGCGAAGGCAGCUCACUGGACUGCAACUGACACUGAGGCUCGAAAGUGUGGGGAUCAAACAGGAUUAGAUACCCUGGUAGUC
rnacentral:rRNA from 1 species